UACGGAGGGUGCAAGCGUUAAUCGGAAUUACUGGGCGUAAAGAGUGCGUAGGUGGUUUGUUAAGUUAUCUGUGAAAGCCCUGGGCUCAACCUGGGAAGGCCAGAUAAAACUGAUGAACUCGAGUACGGGAGAGGGUAGUGGAAUUUCCGGUGUAGCGGUGAAAUGCGUAGAGAUCGGAAGGAACACCAGUGGCGAAGGCGGCUACCUGGCCUGAUACUGACACUGAGGCACGAAAGCGUGGGGAGCAAACAGG
rnacentral:rRNA from 1 species